rnacentral:rRNA from 1 species
UUCCGGUUGAUCCCGCCGGAGGCGACCGCUUUGGGAGUUCGAUUAAGCCAUGCGAGUCGUGAGUCUUAGGGACUCGGCGUACUGCUCAGUAACACGUGGAUAACCUGCCCUAUCGUCUGGAAUAACCUCGGGAAACUGAGAAUAAGGCCGGAUAGUUCACAAUGCCUGGAACGGUUUGUGAAUCAAGGUAGGAUGGGUCUGUGGCGUAUCAGGUUGUAGGGGGUGUAAAGGACCCCCUAGCCUUCGACGCGUACGGGUGUUGGGAGACAUAGCCCGGAGAUGGAUUCUGAGACACGAAUCCAGACCCUACGGGGUGCAGCAGGCGCGAAAACUUCACACUGCAGGAAACUGUGAUGAGGGAACUCCUAGUGCAUGCACUAUGUGUAUGUAGAUCCUACUCUUAACAAGUAGAGGGAAAGGGCUGGGAAAGACCGGUGCCAGCCGCCGCGGUAAUACCGGCAGCUCAAGUGGUCGUCGCUUUUAUUGGGCCUAAAACGUCCGUAGCCUGUUUGGUAAAUCUGUGGGUAAAUCAAUCCGCUCAACGGAUUGAAUUCUGCAGAGACUGCCAGACUAGGGACCGGGAGAGGUGUGGGGUACUCGAGGGGUAGGGGUAAAAUCCUGUCAUCCUUCGAGGACCACCAGUUGCGAAGGCGCCACACUGGAACGGAUCCGAUGGUCAGGGACGAAGCCUAGGGGCACGGACCGGAUUAGAUACCCGGGUAGUCCUAGGUGUAAACGCUGUGAACUUGGUGUCGGGGGUCCGCAAGGGGUCCCCGGUGCCGGAGUGAAGAUGUUAAGUUCACUGCCUGGGGAGUACGGUCGCAAGGCUGAAACUUAAAGGAAUUGGCGGGGCAGCAC